GAUGAAGAACGUAGCGAAAUGCGAUAAGUAGUGUGAAUUGCAGAAUUCAGUGAAUCACCGAAUCUUUGAACGCACAUUGCGCCCUUUGGUAUUCCAAAGGGCAUGCCUGUUCGAGCGUCAUUUGUACCCUCAAGCUUUGCUUGGUGUUGGGCGUCUUGUCUCUAGCUUUGCUGGAGACUCGCCUUAAAGUAAUUGGCAGCCGGCCUACUGGUUUCGGAGCGCAGCACAAGUCGCACUCUCUAUCAGCAAAGGUCUAGCAUCCAUUAAGCCUUUUUUUCAACUUUUGACCUCGGAUCAGGUAGGGAUACCCGCUGAACUUAAGCAUAUCAAUAAGCGGAGGA
rnacentral:misc_RNA from 1 species